rnacentral:rRNA from 1 species
CCUACGGGGGGCAGCAGUGGGGAAUAUUGGGCAAUGGGCGCAAGCCUGACCCAGCAACGCCGCGUGAAGGAAGAAGGCUUUCGGGUUGUAAACUUCUUUUAAGAGGGAAGAGCAGAAGACGGUACCUCUUGAAUAAGCCACGGCUAACUACGUGCCAGCAGCCGCGGUAAUACGUAGGUGGCAAGCGUUAUCCGGAAUUACUGGGUGUAAAGGGAGAGUAGGCGGCAAGGUAAGCGAUAUGUGAAAGCCUUAAGCUUAACUUAAGGAUUGCAUAACGAACUAUCUAGCUAGAGUACAGGAGAGGAAAGCGGAAUUCCUAGUGUAGCGGUGAAAUGCGUAGAUAUUAGGAAGAACACCAGUGGCGAAGGCGGCUUUCUGGACUGAAACUGACGCUGAGGCUCGAAAGCGUGGGGAGCGAACAGGAUUAGAUACCCUUGUAGUC